UAUAUAUAGUUUUUUGAUGUUUGAUCCAGAAAUUUCCACUAAUAUCAGACCGAUCCCAAUUGUCGGAUCAAGCCAUCCCAACGAUGAUUUGAUUUGUGUGAUUUAUUUUCUGCAGGUGGCGUUCAUGAAGUAAUGAGGUGAACAAUCAACAAUCAAAAUCUUUACGGCUGGUAAUAGAAACUAUACCAGAAAGUGACUACCUCGGAUGCAAAUGUACCUUCAUGACGAAGGCGUCCUGGCUGAGCUGAGCGGUCUGCUCCACAGUCAACUGCAAGUUAAAGAAACACGGCAAAAAUCAGGCAGGGGGAGCAGUCCUGACCUUGGCCACCAGGAUAGAGAUGACGGCCACUGCCAUCCUCUGAAGGGUUGGAUUCUCAUGGCUGCUUAGCCAGUUAAUCACCAGGGUGGCUGCCAAAUACCUGAACCACGAUGACAGGCGUAGAGCAGUCGACCGACGGUGGCACUGAGCAGGCUGACGGGCAUGGCCUCGGCCAUGUUCUGCGUGGUCAGGUUGAAAAUACAGGCCGUAGCCACCAGGUGGACGCGCAAGGACGAGGGAUGGCUCUGCAUCGCACCGAGCACCAGCUGCAGGAAACAGAAGAUCUUUCCGUGUCGACAGGACAUCACUGGAGCUCACUCCGGUGGCGAGGAGCCCCAGAAAGAUCAGUCCACCGCGGCUCUCCAAAAAUACCUUCAAUGCAGCUUCAGUGACUCUCUUCCUUCCAGAUAUAUCGAGCG